rnacentral:rRNA from 1 species
AGCGAACGCUGGCGGCAGGCCUAACACAUGCAAGUCGAACGGACCCUUCGGGGUUAGUGGCGGACGGGUGAGUAACACGUGGGAACGUGCCUUUAGGUUCGGAAUAGCUCCUGGAAACGGGUGGUAAUGCCGAAUGUGCCCUUCGGGGGAAAGAUUUAUCGCCUUUAGAGCGGCCCGCGUCUGAUUAGCUAGUUGGUGAGGUAAAGGCUCACCAAGGCUACGAUCAGUAGCUGGUCUGAGAGGAUGACCAGCCACAUUGGGACUGAGACACGGCCCAAACUCCUACGGGAGGCAGCAGUGGGGAAUCUUGCGCAAUGGGCGAAAGCCUGACGCAGCCAUGCCGCGUGGAUGAUGAAGGUCUUAGGAUUGUAAAAUCCUUUCACCGGUGAAGAUAAUGACUGUAGCCGGAGAAGAAGCCCCGGCUAACUUCGUGCCAGCCGCCGCGGUAACAC